AGUCAACCUACCCUAUGGACGGGAAUAACCUCGGGAAACUGAGUAUAAUGCCCGAUAGAACACUAUUCCUGGAAUGGUUUGUGUUCCAAAUGAUUUAUCGCCGUAGGAUGGGACUGCGGCCUAUCAGUUUGUUGGUGAGGUAAUGGCCCACCAAGACUAUUACAGGUACGGGCUCUGAGAGGAGUAGCCCGGAGAUGGGUACUGAGACACGGACCCAGGCCCUAUGGGGCGCAGCAGGCGAGAAAACUUUGCAAUGUGCGAAAGCACGACAAGGUUAAUCCGAGUGGUUUCUGCUAAAGGAACCUUUUGACAGUCCUAGAAACACUGUUGAAUAAGGGGUGGGCAAGUUCUGGUGUCAGCCGCCGCGGUAAAACCAGCACCUCAAGUGGUCAGGAUGAUUAUUGGGCCUAAAGCAUCCGUAGCCGGCUCUGUUAGUUUUCGGUUAAAUCUGUACGCUCAACGUACAGGCUGCCGGGAAUACUGCAGAGCUAGGGAGUGGGAGAGGUAGACGGUACUCGGUAGGAAGGGGUAAAAUCCUUUGAUCUAUUGAUGACCACCUGUGGCGAAGGCGGUCUACCAGAACACGUCCGACGGUGAGGGAUGAAAGCUGGGGGAGCAAACCGGAUUAGAUACCCGGGUAGUCCCAGCUGUAAACUAUGCAAACUCAGUGAUGCAUUGGCUUGUGGCCAAUGCAGUGCU
rnacentral:rRNA from 1 species